GGGGGCGAAUGGUUUUCGAUUGGAAAUGGGAGGUUAUAGGCUUCAGGCAGGGCUGAAGUAUCCCUUAAAACUGCUCCAAAACGAUAAACGCAGAUAAUUCUGCUCUCCUGGCUGCUUAAGUCAGCCAGCCUUCUUAGCUGUGGCUCCUCUGCAUAGCUAACGAGGGUUAGACACAGGGGAUAGGAAAGGAGAGGCCGGACCUCCUUUCUGAAAAUGACCGGCUCUUUCCGUUUCGGGUUUGUUCUGUUUCCUGAAACGGGAGAACAAAAAAACAGAACCAAGCCUGUGGAUAAGGUCUGUAGCAUCUCUUUCCAGGACGUGGGUUCGAUUCCCACCGCCUCCAAAU
rnacentral:tmRNA from 1 species